rnacentral:rRNA from 1 species
UUCUGGUUGAUCCCGCCGGACCUGACUGCUAUCGGAUUGAUACUAAGCCAUGCGAGUCUUUGUAGUAAUACAAGGCAGACGGCUCAGUAACACGUAGUCAACCUACCCUAUGGACGAGAAUAAUCUCGGGAAACUGAGCAUAAUUCUUGAUAGAUCAUAAUGCCUGGAAUGGUUUAUGGUUAAAAUGAUUCGUCGCCAUAGGAUGGGACUGCGGCCUAUCAGCUUGUUGGUGAGGUAAUGGCCCACCAAGGCGAUUACAGGUACGGGCUCUGAGAGGAGAAGCCCGGAGAUGGGUACUGAGACACGGACCCAGGCCCUAUGGGGCGCAGCAGGCGAGAAAACUUUGCAAUGUGCGAAAGCACGACAAGGUUAAUCCGAGUGAUAUCUGCUAAAGAAAUCUUUUGCCAGUCGUAAAACCGCUGGUGAAUAAGGGGUGGGCAAGUUCUGGUGCCAGCAGCCGCGGUAAU